UGUUCCAUGCACGAAAAAUCGCUGUGCCGAGGCCUUGCGCCCCCUCCGCAGCCAGCAGCCCCCUCGGGCUCGGGGCUCCGUACCCUCCGCAGCCCCAGUCGGGGUCUCCAGGCGCUCCGACUCCAUUUGCUGGGGCGAGGAAUGGAAAAGUUGAAACCCUGCGGGGCUCAGAGACGGGGAAUGCGCAGAACCUUUUGUGUCCUUCCCUACUCUCCGCUUCCUUUGCCUUCGCGUGCGGUGGCUCUGGUGGCCAAGGUUGCAGGUCCUACCGUGAGGAAGCGUACUACAUGUUUGGGAGGUGGAGGAAUUUACAAGAUUAAAAUAAAUUUGGUUGAUGUUUCUGAACAAAUUCAGCCCUUUUGAGGUAUGCCAUUUUGAAGACUGAGACUGGAAUUUUAUCUUUCAAAAUAAAGAAAAUCUGUGAAAAUAUUUUGUAUAACAAGGAUGUGGAACCUGAAUUCUUAAAGGGCCCGCCCGUACACCCUGAUAGGUGUUGGUGGAAGCACUUACACCCAGUCAGCUUGAAGAGUCUCAAAUGGACCCUACCACUGAGAAACCAAGAUGGCAGCCCACUGUGGGGGAUUGAGGAAAAUGGAUUAAAACAAGAGUGCUGUGAUAAUAUGCAACCCAGACAGGGUUCUUUUUGCAUGGAGCUGAUGAAAUGAAUGAAGACAUAGGUUUCUUACAAGUGGACAGUGCAUUUGAUUUUCUAAAGACUUUGUAUCAUUAAAACAAGUACAUUUUUGACAUUUGGAGAAGAUGAUAAAUUUUCACAGAUGAUAGUCUGUAUACCUGCAAUAUUUUGUGGUUUGACUUGUAUGAGUUUGACCUUGUGGAAUGUUAACUUGAAUAAAAUUUCUAAUACUUAAAA